GAUGAACGCUGGCGGCGUGCCUAAUACAUGCAAGUCGAGCGAACUGAUUAGAAGCUUGCUUCUAUGACGUUAGCGGCGGACGGGUGAGUAACACGUGGGCAACCUGCCUGUAAGACUGGGAUAACUUCGGGAAACCGAAGCUAAUACCGGAUAGGAUCUUCUCCUUCAUGGGAGAUGAUUGAAUGAUGGUUCCGGCUAUCACUUACAGAUGGGCCCGCGGUGCAUUAGCUAGUUGGUGAGGUAACGGCUCACCAAGGCAACGAUGCAUAGCCGACCUGAGAGGGUGAUCGGCCACACUGGGACUGAGACACGGCCCAGACUCCUACGGGAGGCAGCAGUAGGGAAUCUUCCGCAAUGGACGAAGGUCUGACGGAGCAACGCCGCGUGAGUGAUGAAGGCUUUCGGGUCGUAAAACUCUGUUGUUAGGGAAGAACAAGUACGAGAGUAACUGCUCGUACCUUGACGGUACCUAACCAGGAAGCCACGGCUAACUACGUGCCAGCCGCCGCAGUAACAC
rnacentral:rRNA from 1 species